UCGAGGAUCUUCGGCAAUGGGGGCAACCCUGACCGAGCGAUGCCGCGUGGGCGACGAAGGCCUUCGGGUUGUAAAGCUCUUUCGGUGAAGACGAAACGGUCAAUGCUAAUAACAUUGACUAAUGACGGUACUCACAGAAGAAGCACCGGCUAACUACGUGCCAGCAGCCGCGGUAAUACGUAGGGUGCAGGCGUUAAUCGGAAUUACUGGGCGUAAAGCGUGCGCAGGCGGUUUGCUAAGACAGGUGUGAAAUCCCCGGGCUUAACCUGGGAAUUGCGCUUGUAACUGGCAAGCUAGAGUGUAGCAGAGGGGGGUAGAAUUCCACGUGUAGCAGUGAAAUGCGUAGAUAUGUGGAGGAAUACCGAUGGCGAAGGCAGCCCCCUGGGUUAACACUGACGCUCAUGCACGAAAGCGUGGGGAGCAAA
rnacentral:rRNA from 1 species